UACGUAGGUGGCAAGCGUUGUCCGGAUUUACUGGGCGUAAAGAGCACGCAGGCGGUCGGCCAAGUCGAGUGUGAAAGCCCCCGGCUCAACUGGGGAGGGUCACUCGAUACUGGUCGACUUGAAGGCGGGAGAGGGAAGCGGAAUUCCCGGUGUAGUGGUGAAAUGCGUAGAUAUCGGGAGGAACACCAGUGGCGAAGGCGGCUUCCUGGCCCGUUCUUGACGCUCAUGUGCGAAAGCUAGGGGAGCGAACAGG
rnacentral:rRNA from 1 species